CGUCACUCGGGCAUGCAGCAGAGGUACAAGGCAGACGGCCGCCACCGCCACGGAGUCAGGUCUUUGCUAGCUACAGGUCAAGGAGAAACAUCCUAAAGUGAGCGCCAUCACUGCACAGUGAUCAACAACAUACGUGGCUGAAGAUGAUUUUCACACUUACAUCUGCCUGCAGAAGGAGUCCCUCAGGUGUUUCUUUGAAGUGUGCCAUGUGUUGGCAACAGCAGCUGACGUUGAACAAACACUAAAACUUCCUGAUUCUUCAAGACUAAUUGUCUUAGGUGAAUUGCUCACAGCAAGCUUUUGGAUGCUGAGCAUCGAGGGUCAGGUGGUUUUGCCUCCACAUCCCAACUUCUUGGCUGGAGUGGCAGCUUUGUUUUCUAGCUACUACAACUUCAAUCUGGUGUACCAGGAGCAAGCAUCUUGCACACUGGAAUUCAUUCAAAGAUGCUUUUUGGACUGAACCCCUCCAGUGGGACCAAGACAACAAAGAUGGUGAGCCAAAAAAGUGGGAAGGUACAGGAGAAGAAGAGAAACCCUCA